GUAGGUGAACCUGCGGAAGGAUCAUUAUCGUGGGGCUUCGGCCCUCUCGAGAUAGAACCCUUGCCUUUUUGAGUACCUUUUCGUUUCCUCGGCAGGCUCGCCUGCCAACGGGGACCCCCAAUAAACCCUUUGUAACACCUGUAAAUCGUCUGACAAAACAAACAAAAAAUUAAAACUUUCAACAACGGAUCUCUUGGUUCUG
rnacentral:misc_RNA from 1 species